ACAGUGGUUCCUGCCUCCAACUGUUCCCUAAAGUACUCCCCCUGCCUCCUCCCACCUUUCCAUCUCAUCGCCCUAGCACCAUGAUGAGGAUUUUAGCUCCUGAUGACCUAGUUCAGGAAGGACCGAGGGUGGCCAUGGCAACUGGCUCUAACGGAUCGGAGAAAGGGGCCUCUUUAACUCCAAGCUGGAAAUAAAUCUUGGUGUCAAGUUAACAGUGGAUGUGAAUACUGAAGGCUGGUUGGGAUUUUCUCAUCUCAGAACAGAUGCAAUAAAGGCUCAGACAGUAAGGAAUCUGCCUACAAUGCAAGAGACCUGGGUUCAAUCCCUGGGUCAGGAAGAUAUCCUGGAGAAGAGAAUGGCUACCCACUCCUGUAUUCUUGCCUGGGAAAUCUCAUGGACAGAGGAGCUUGGUGGGCUAUCGUCCAUGGGGGUCACAAAGAGUUGGACAUGACUGAGGGACUAACACAUGACAUGAUCCAGGGAGGGCAGGUACCACUUUCUAUGAAAAUUGUUUGCUUGUCUUAAGAAAAAGACCAAAGUAUUUUUUUUUUUCAAUUUGUAUCUUUGGUGCCAGAAAAAUGUGUAUUGAUCAUGCCUCUGUGUAACAAAUUACCCCCAAACUUGGUGGAUUGAAACAUCAACAUUUAUUGUCUCCCAGUUUCUGUGGAUCCG
rnacentral:lncRNA from 1 species